UGGGGAAUAUUGCGCAAUGGGGGGAACCCUGACGCAGCCAUGCCGCGUGAAUGAAGAAGGCCUUCGGGUUGUAAAGUUCUUUCGGUAUUGAGGAAGGUUGAUGUGUUAAUAGCACAUCAAAUUGACGUUGAAUACAGAAGAAGCACCGGCUAACUCCGUGCCAGCAGCCGCGGUAAUAACGGAGGGUGCGAGCGUUAAUCGGAAUAACUGGGCGUAAAGGGCACGUAGGCGGUUAUUUAAGUGAGGUGUGAAAGCCCCGGGCUUAACCUGGGAAUUGCAUUUCAGACUGGGUAACUAGAGUACUUUAGGGAGGGGUAGAAUUCCACGUGUAGCGGUGAAAUGCGUAGAGAUGUGGAGGAAUACCGAAGGCGAAGCNAGCCCCUUGGGAAUGUACUGACGCUCAUGUGCGAAAGCGUGGGGAGCAAACAGGAUUAGAUACUCUGGUAGUCCACGCUGUAAACGCUGUCGAUUUGGGGGUUGGGGUUUAACUCUGGCGCCCGUAGCUAACGUGAUAAAUCGACCGCCUGGGGAGUACGGCCGCAAGGUUA
rnacentral:rRNA from 1 species